rnacentral:rRNA from 1 species
AUUGAACGCUGGCGGCAUGCCUUACACAUGCAAGUCGAACGGUAACAGGUCUUCGGAUGCUGACGAGUGGCGAACGGGUGAGUAAUACAUCGGAACGUGCCCGAGAGUGGGGGAAAACAGGGCGAAACUUUGCUUAAUACGCCUUACGAUCCCAGGAGGAAGGCAGGGGACCGCAAGGCUUUCCCCCCAGGGGCGGGCGGAUGGCAGAUUAGGUAGUUGGUGGGAUAAAAGCUUACCAAGCCGACGAUCUGUAGCUGGUCCGAGAGGACGACCAGCCACACUGGGACUGAGACACGGCCCAGACUCCCACGGGAGGCAGCAGUGGGGAAUUUUGGACAAUGGGCGCAAGCCUGAUCCAGCCAUGCCGCGUGCAGGAUGAAGGCCUUCGGGUUGUAAACUGCUUUUGUACGGAACGAAAAGACUCUGGUUAAUACCUGGGGUCCAUGACGGUACCGUAAGAAUAAGCACCGGCUAACUACGUGCCAGCCGCCGCCGUAAAAC